rnacentral:rRNA from 1 species
CAGUCGCCACGGUAAUACAGAGGAUGCAAGCGUUAUCUGGAAUGAUUGGGCGUAAAGCGCGUCUAGGUGGUUAUGUAAGUCUGAUGUGAAAAUGCAGGGCUCAACUCUGUAUUGCGUUGGAAACUGUAUAACUAGAGUACUGGAGAGGUAAGCGGAACUACAAGUGUAGAGGUGAAAUUCGUAGAUAUUUGUAGGAAUGCCGAUGGGGAAGCCAGCUUACUGGACAGAUACUGACGCUGAAGCGCGAAAGCUAGGGGAGCAAAUGGGAUUAGAUACCCCAGUAGUCCCUGUCUCUUAUACA